rnacentral:rRNA from 1 species
AUGAAAAAUUUCGUGGCAAGCAAUCGCUGGCUUGCAGCUGAAUUAUGCACAUCGGAGUGUCAAGAUUCUUGUAUCUCUGUCUCUACUACAGUAUUUAAAUCUUACAUACAACUUCAGAUACACAUUGCACACCAACAAGGCAUCCAUUGCCGUCUGAGUCGACGCCGAGGGUUUAUGUUUCACUUCACAAGGUGCUUCUCAGGGUUUUUGAGUAAAUUGCAAAAAACCACCACAAUUGGGGACUCUAAUUCAGAAAACCACCAUCAUUCAGUUUUUUUUCAAAAAACCACCAAUAUUGCGGUGACAGUUUUCAAAAAACGCUAA